GAUGAACGCUGGUGGCGUGCCUAAUACAUGCAAGUCGAGCGAACAGAUAAGGAGCUUGCUCCUUUGACGUUAGCGGCGGACGGGUGAGUAACACGUGGGUAACCUACCUAUAAGACUGGGAUAACUUCGGGAAACCGGAGCUAAUACCGGAUAACAUUUGGAACCGCAUGGUUGUAAAGUGAAAGAUGGUUUUGCUAUCACUUAUAGAUGGACCCGCGCCGUAUUAGCUAGUUGGUAAGGUAACGGCUUACCAAGGCGACGAUACGUAGCCGACCUGAGAGGGUGAUCGGCCACACUGGAACUGAGACACGGUCCAGACUCCUACGGGAGGCAGCAGUAGGGAAUCUUCCGCAAUGGGCGAAAGCCUUACGGAGCAACGCCGCGUGAGUGAUGACGGGUUUCGGCUCGUAAAACUCUGUUAUUAGGGAAGAACAAAUGUGUAAGUAACUGUGCACGUCUUGACGGUACCUAAUCAGAAAGCCACGGCUAACUACGUG
rnacentral:rRNA from 1 species